AGAGUUUGAUCAUGGCUCAGGAUGAACGCCGGCGGUGUGCCUAAUACAUGCAAGUCGUACGCACUGGCCCAACUGAUUGAUGGUGCUUGCACCUGAUUGACGAUGGAUCACCAGUGAGUGGCGGACGGGUGAGUAACACGUAGGUAACCUGCCCCGGAGCGGGGGAUAACAUUUGGAAACAGAUGCUAAUACCGCAUAACAACAAAAGCCACAUGGCUUUUGUUUGAAAGAUGGCUUUGGCUAUCACUCUGGGAUGGACCUGCGGUGCAUUAGCUAGUUGGUAAGGUAACGGCUCACCAAGGCGAUGAUGCAUAGCCGAGUUGAGAGACUGAUCGGCCACAAUGGAACUGAGACACGGUCCAUACUCCUACGGGAGGCAGCAGUAGGGAAUCUUCCACAAUGGGCGCAAGCCUGAUGGAGCAACACCGCGUGAGUGAAGAAGGGUUUCGGCUCGUAAAGCUCUGUUGUUGGAGAAGAACGUGCGUGAGAGUAACUGUUCACGCAGUGACGGUAUCCAACCAGAAAGUCACGGCUAACUACGUGCCAGCAGCCGCGGUAAUACGUAGGUGGCAAGCGUUAUCCGGAUUUAUUGGGCGUAAAGCGAGCGCAGGCGGUUGCUUAGGUCUGAUGUGAAAGCCUUCGGCUUAACCGAAGAAGUGCAUCGGAAACCGGGCGACUUGAGUGCAGAAGAGGACAGUGGAACUCCAUGUGUAGCGGUGGAAUGCGUAGAUAUAUGGAAGAACACCAGUGGCGAAGGCGGCUGUCUGGUCUGCAACUGACGCUGAGGCUCGAAAGCAUGGGUAGCGAACAGGAUUAGAUACCCUGGUAGUCCAUGCCGUAAACGAUGAGUGCUAGGUGUUGGAGGGUUUCCGCCCUUCAGUGCCGGAGCU
rnacentral:rRNA from 1 species